GUGGUACAUUGAAAUCACCGGUUCUCGUCCGAUCACCGAAGUUAAGCAAUGUCGGGCCCGGUCAGUACUUGGGAGGGUGACCACCUGGGAACACCAGAUGCUGUAGGCU
rnacentral:rRNA from 1 species